rnacentral:lncRNA from 1 species
GAGAGAGAGAGUUGAACCAGCUUUGUAGGAAGAUUUUGUCUUGGAGUAAGGCCAUCACGGGCCCCAAGGAAACUCCAUCAGAAUUGGGAGCAAAGAAUGCGGCGACGGGAGUGAUGGUGUAGAGGCGGUGAAAGGUGGGAGGAAGACGGUGGUCGGAAGUGAGGGAAGAGUUAAGAAUGGAGUGAGAAGAAAGAAGUGCAAGGAGACGAUCUAUCAUUGAGGCUGCUUCUGGGUUACUGCAACCAAUCUUUGAUGCUAUUUCCUUAGCAGACACCUUAGCACCUUCUCCGGCUUCUUUCAGCACCUCAAAGACUCCCAGCUCCGUCGCCGAUUGCACUGCCAUGGAAAGGACCACGGAAGUCGCAAGCUGCAUGGCACGGGAGAAGCUUUCUGCAUCUUCUUCCUUCCUCUUCUCUUCAUCAUUCAGCGUUGAAUCUGGAAGGCUUGCCAUCUCCACUUCAACCUGCAAUCGUUCACCAACUUCUCCACUAUAUAUUAAACCAUCCAUUGAAAACCUUUAUACUUUAUUAUUCUGAGAUACUUAUAAUAAUUUGGGUGUUGAUAUGUCAACACCACAAUAAAAAACCAUUCGUUGACAAAUCAAUAAAAUAAUAUUUUAAUUAUAUUUAAUUUAUUUUAAAUUUUCAAAUAUUAUUAUAAUAUAAUGUUAAGUAUAUGCUUUUUAUUGUGUGUAGGAUAAUAUUUUUUAGUUAUAAGGCAUUAUUUUAAAGAGACAACACUAAUAUUUUGAAGGUAAUAAAUAACAUUUUUUAAUAAACAUUGUUUAUGGUGGUGUGGUGGCUAGCUAAGAACUUUAUUAUGAGUCUAAAUAAUUGAUUAGAUGAUUGGCAAAUUAAUACAAUUGUAAAUGGAAAACCCAAUUUCCUUAUAAAUAACACCUCUGACCUUUGAUGGAGCUUGAGAAGUUUGUUGCAUGGAUUAGGGUUUUUGAUAUAUAAAAGCUUUUCAAUCCUUAUAAAUUAAUAUAAUGAAAUAUGUAGUAGCAGAAAUAGUUGUAGACAAAAUAAUAUUAUCUGAAUGCGGUGUUUUAGCUAGGUAUUCAGUGAAAUCAGACCGCCACAAUUUAAUUCAUUUUGAUGGAAAAUUGUGCGUACAACAGUUUCCAAUGAGAUAGUAUAUCCCUCAAAGAUAGACUCAAAUUGAAGAUCAAGAAUUAUUGAAAAUCAAAAUUAUGAUUUAACUUCAAAAUAUUUAUACUUACUUAAAUAAAUCUUAAUUUAUUUCCUUUUCUUGCAUCAAGUUAGCAUGGAUCAAAAAAAUUGUAUAAAAAAAAUAGACUUUUAGUUCAAUUCUUUCCUUAUCAUUAUUUCUUCUUUUCAUAUAUUUUUCUAAUUAUUAUUCUUUAUUUUUUUUUAAAGUUUCCUCUGCCUCACACUUUUCCAUUCUUUUGUUUAAAAUUUCUUGCUUCAUUUGUAUUUUUUUUUUCAAAACCAAAUUUUAUUGUGUGUGUUCAAGAUCACUUUCAUCUUUAUCAUAUUUUAAUUUAGAAAAUUAUCUUCUUCUUAUUUGAAAAUCUCACAAUUCCUUUUUCUCUGUUGAUAUUUGAUUUUUUUUUUAUCUGUAAUGAAUUAAUUAAAUAAAAAGAAACUCUUUCCAACAUGUAUACAUAGAACUCCUAAUAAAACUACCUACAAUACAUGCAUGCUAACUAAGAGACACACCACUUAGUUCCAAAAGAGCUAUGUAAUUACAACCCCAAAACCUGCUUCAAACCAACAAACAAAACCUGUUAGUACAUAUAGGCAUAGCUUGCUACCAGCCCACCAAGCAAGCCACUAACACUCUAACCAGAAAGCAAAACAACAACAUCUCAGACACCUUCCUCGGUAAGCAGAAACCAGAUGAGAAAGCAGUUGCUACUCCAUGAUCUCUUCUCCCUUACAUUCUAUACAAUAUGGCAUAUCUGCACCUUUGUAACCAGCUUCUACCAGGAAACCCUUAGUAGAAAAACAUCAACAAGAUAAAGCUACACUUUUAUAGAAUCUACAUAACACAUUAAACAGAGGAAAAACAUGUGUGCUUGGCUGUGAUUGACCACCAGCUCACUGCUGCAUGACCUGAAAAAAAGCAAUAGACUAUACCAGAACCUAUACCUGUUCAAUUCACUCUGCACCGAAAAACAAGAAACAACUCUUUUGGUCGUUAGACUUGCUCUCCACUCAUGGCAGACAACUAUACCAAACACCACCGCAUGCAGCAUCAAGCUUUAAAUUACUGCAUCAGAGUAAUAAAAUCUAUCCUCCAGAAAGCACUAAUCCGAACCAUUUCCUGUCUAUACCUUCCUUGACCUGCAGAAACCUGUAUGGUCAGGACUACACCACACAACACCCAGCACAAGAACCACCCUCUUAGCACUCUGCUACCAACCCCUGCAGCACUAGAGCCUGCACCACGGCAGUGGGUCUUGGACCCUCUUUUCUAGACACAACUCCUCUAAAAUAAAAUCCAAAGAAACACUUUCUACCCUGCUUAAGCUCACACCCAGUUACUUAAAGCUUUUAACGCAUAUAGACGGAUUAAGUACCCAAUCCACAAAGAGUAGUUGAAGGUAUAUGUCCUAUGCUUCAUCCAUAACCACGACUUGAGCUGAGUCAUAUGAAAAACCUCUUCAACAUUUACAACUCCCUCCUUAAAAAGAAUAGAGUUUCUCUAGUUAAUUACAAGAUUAUGCAGAUAUAUUUUCCAGAUGCACACACACUGAUAUUAGAUUGAAAAACAGUGAAACACAAAAACAGCAAACCUUAAUUCCAAAUAAUGUGAUUUAGGUUCAGUUAAGGGCUUGACAAUUAGUGAGGCAAUCUAUCACACUCAACUUGUUUUACUAGCCUUUAACAGAUUAUCAGUGUUCUUAUUGAAACCAGACAGUUUUCCAGAAAUUAAGAACAGUAUGCACAGCGCCCAGAAAGAACACAUUUAUUUUCAAUUGAACAGAUUUAUUUCUUUGCUGUUUUAUCAAUUAUGCAGAAACGAAAUUGCAGAGAGUGAGAGAGAAUGAACACAAGCAGUUAUACUGGUUCACUCAACUGAGCUACAUCCAGUCUUCACCAAAACCAGGUGGAAAUCACUAAAACACAGUACAACCAAGUACAAUUCCCACUGUUCUUGAAACCUACAAGAACUUAGGUACUCUUGCUGAAAAAACCUAUUUCAGCUCACACACACUCUCCAAGAAAACCUAUCAAGAAGAGUGUUCAACCAAACNNNNNNNNNNNNNNNNNNNNNNNNNNNNNNNNNNNNNNNNNNNNNNNNNNNNNNNNNNNNNNNNNNNNNNNNNNNNNNNNNNNNNNNNNNNNNNNNNNNNNNNNNNNNNNNNNNNNNNNNNNNNNNNNNNNNNNNNNNNNNNNNNNNNNNNNNNNNNNNNNNNNNNNNNNNNNNNNNNNNNNNNNNNNNNNNNNNNNNNNNNNNNNNNNNNNNNNNNNNNNNNNNNNNNNNNNNNNNNNNNNNNNNNNNNNNNNNNNNNNNNNNNNNNNNNNNNNNNNNNNNNNNNNNNNNNNNNNNNNNNNNNNNNNNNNNNNNNNNNNNNNNNNNNNNNNNNNNNNNNNNNNNNNNNNNNNNNNNNNNNNNNNNNNNNNNNNNNNNNNNNNNNNNNNNNNNNNNNNNNNNNNNNNNNNNNNNNNNNNNNNNNNNNNNNNNNNNNNNNNNCUUUAGAAAAGAACAGAUUUAUUUUUAUGCAGUAAACGUGUUUUUUUGAAAAAUAGUUUAAGAAAACUUAUGCUUGUUCUUAUCACAUGGCCAGUGGUUAUGAGGUGAGUUACUCAGCAAAAAGCCCUCUUAAACAACCUCUAAGCACUGCCUAAGACACACUUAAAGCAAAACAAAAAUACACAUGAAAUGUACAUAAAAGUCUUCAUCAAACACAAUCUUGAAGGGGCAGCAACCAUCUUCAACAAUCUCCCCCUGUUUGAUGGAGACAAAUCCCCAUAGCUAACCUCAUAGCUUUGUUGCUUUAAGAACCUGCACUGCACCAGAUUUUAAACCAGAAAAAAACAGCAGUAUUGCAUAACAUGAGAAAUGGUUUUAAGGUGCAGAAUUAACUCCCUGUUUCAGCUAGCUUCACCUAGCAUGGUGAGCUAUUUUUCAGCAGCUAUUUUUCUCCCCCUUUGGAUUCAUCAAACAGCAUAUAAGCAUAGGGAAAACAAAAAUGAAACAAAAACCAUAACCAUAAUAGUUCAGAAAAUAAAACCAUAUUGUUCAGCAUUACAGACAUUUGAAAACUGAUAAAGAAAGCAUUAAAAACAGAAGACUACUGGUCUGACACAAAUAGAUGUUGACAUGAUCCCUCCUUGGUCUGACACAAAACACUUUAGUUAGUUGAUAAAAAUAAUCAUAUCCAAUAGUUCAACUUCAAAUUAAAAUUUUGUAUCUAUUUGAUUAUAUUGGUUUAGGUCUCAAGGAUUUGAAGAAUUUUUAACUUUUUUUUAACUAUUACUUGGAUAAAAAGUAACUUUCAAUAGUUUGAUUAUUGAAGUUGGUAGUCUGUGUACUGAAAUUAAAUAGAUAAAUGUAGAUGUGUAGAAGGACUCUUGAAAUUGAUGAUGAUAUGUAAUGUAACACUACCAGAAAAUCAUGAAAUAGUAACCAAUUUUAGAAAAAAAAAAAUAAUUAGUUGUUAUAGUGACUAAAUUAGAGACCAUUUUAGAAACUAAAAAAAACUUUUGCCUUCUAAAUUAGUUUCUAUUAUGGUUAUAUAGUUUAUAAAUUGGUAUUUAAUUAGCUACCAAAGUUUUUGGUAUCAAAUUAGAUUCUAAAUAAUUAGUAGUUAAAACCUUGGUAGCUAAUUAAAUACCAAUUUAAAAACUAUUUAACAAUAAUAAAAACUAAUUUAGAAACGAAUUUUUUUUAGUCUCUAAAAUGGUCUCUAAUUUAGUCAUUAUAACAACUAAUUAUUUAUUGUUUCUAAAAUUGGUUUCUAUUUCAAGAUUUUCUUGUAGUGUAAGGUUCAAAUUGAGUAUUAUUAUUAGUAACGCUAUAAGAAAAUAAUUAAAUAUCAAUUAAUUUAGAUAAAAAAAUUAAUUAUUAUAUUGAUUAAUCUAUAAAUUAAAAAAUUAUUAAUAUUUACAUUAGUUUCUAUUAGUAAUAAAAGUUUAUAAAAUAGUUUUUAAAUUAUUUAACCUUAACUAUCAAGGUUUUAGUACUAAUUACUUAAAAUUAUAAAUUAGUCAUUCAUUUAAUUAAAGACUAUUUUAUAAUCUAAAGUAGUUAAUAACUAAAAUCUUGGUAGCUAAUAUUAUAUAUCAAUUUGAAAAUUAUAAAUUUUUAUUGAUAAUAGAAACUAAUUACUAAUAAUUUUUUAGUUUAUAAAAUAAUAUCUAAGUUAAUAAUAUAAUGACUAAUUGUUUUUUAUCUCUAAAUUAGUUCUUAUUUAAUGAUUUUUUUAUAGUGUAAAAUAUUCUUUAACUAAGUCCAAAACUAUGUUUAACCCUAGUUAGGACUAUGAAAUUUAUUAGAAUUGAUUUUCGAUUGGUUUUUAACUUUAUGCACAAAUUGUUGUUUUCUCCAUAUCUUAUUUGAGUGUUGAGAUUGCUCUAGUGAUGCUCAAGUGAUAACUUUAAUCUUAAGUGCACAACAUCAGUUUGAGUAAGAGAGAGAAAUUAACGAUUCUCUUUUGUCUUGAAAUUUAUCACUCAGAUGAUGAUUGGUCGCUAAAGUGAUGGUCACUUUAGCAAUGGAGUUUUGUAGGUUUGACUAAGUUUUUUAUUUACCUUUUCUUAAAGGGUUUAUCAUUAAAGUGUUGCUUUAAAGUUCAAGCCGUGAUAAAUAUUGAUCAAGCAACAUAUUAUAGCUUGUGUGAGAAAGAUUUGCUUUAAUUUAGAUACUACACAGAGCAUGAGUAAGAAGUUUAAGUGAUAAAAACUCUUUCAAACCACAUUACACAACUAACUUCAGUGAAGAAACUCUGGUGACAUAUUUUCAUGUGUUUUUUUAUUAGUUAGUUAAGCAUCUAUCUUCACUUAAAUGAUGUUGCAUUGGUUUAGACAAUUAUUGAAAUUGUUAUUAAUAAAAUACCAAUACAAGAAAAUUUGUUAUUUCAUACUGGAUUUGGAUUCAUAUAUAAAUUUGCACCUACCUUCAAAUUUUACCAACAAAUUAUUACUCCAGAUAAAAUUGAGUUACUUUGUUAAUGAAAAUGCCGUUAUUAGUUUUAUAGUUCAACCAAUAUUUAAACUGUCACUAUUAGUGUUUUAAUGACAAUAUAACAAAAAAUUAUCAUCCUAAAUGGACUCAAUAAUGAUGAAUAAUAAAGCAAAAUCUGUCAAAAAAAUAAAAAAUAAAAUUUUGAUGGAACACUAAUAAGUACGUUGACGACCAUAAAGUUCGAGAGUCAAAUACUAUGCAUAAACAAAUUGUAGCAAGACUUAAGAUUUUGGGAUCGACUAUAAAUGAAAAAAAUCUUUAUAAAAUUUAUUUUAAACUCAUCAUUAUCUGAGUAUAGCUCAUUUUAAAUGACCAAUAAUACCAUAGCACAACAAGUUGGUUCAAGAAACACUAGUACAAAAUAUGAAAAUAAUGACCAUUUAUUUAGUGCGGCUUUGCGCUUAAACGCAUUUGCAAAAAACGCGGUGACAUUUUUGAAAUUAAAUUGUUUUACAAAUGCGGUUCUAGAGUAAGACCGCAUUUGUAAAUCAAUUCAAAUUAUUUACAAAUGCGGUCUUUACUAUGACCGCAUUUGUAAUUAAUUUCACAUUGAUUUACAAAUGCGAUCUUACUCUAGAACCACAUUUGUAAAACAAUUUUACCGUACAUUGAUUUAUUGAUCUGUGUACUUGGUAGUUUGAGUACUGAAAUUAGAUGGAUUCUUGAAAUUGAUGAUGGUAUGUAAAGUAAGGUUCAAAUUGAGUAUUAUUAUUAAUAAUGUUAUAAGAAAAUAAUUAAAUAGUUAUUAAUUUGGAUAAAAAUAAUUAUUAUUAUAUUGAUUAACUUGAUACUAUUUUAUAAAAUAAAAAGUUAUUGGCUACAUAAGUUUUUAUUAGUAAUAAAAGUUUAUAAAAUAGUUUUAAAUUGAUAUUUAAUAUUAACUAUAAAUAGUUUAUAAAGGUUUUAAUAAUAAUUACUUUACAUUAUAAAUUAGUCACUUAUUUAAUUAAUUAAAGACUCUAAAAUAGUUAGUAACUAAAAUCUUGGUAGCUAAUAUUAUAUAUCAAUUUGAAAAAUAUUUUAUAAAUUUUUAUUAAUAAUAGAAACUAUUUACUAAUAAUUUUUUAGUUUAUAAAAUAGUAUCUAACUUAAUAAUAUAAUGACUAAUUAUUUUUUAUCUUUAAAUUAGUUGUUAUUUAAUUAUUUUUUUGUAGUGUAAAAUAUUAUUUAACUUAGUCUAAAACUAUGUUUAACCCUUGUUAGGACUAUGAAAUUUAUUAGAAUUGGUUUUCGAUGAGUUUUGAGCUUUAUGUAGAAAUUGUUGUUUUCUCCAUAUCUUAUUUGAGUCUUGAGAUUUUUCGACUCACACGAUAACUAUAAUAUUAAGUGCACAAUAUCAUUACUUGAGUAAGAGAGAAGAAAUAACAAUUCUCUUUUUCUCUUGAAAUUUAUCGCUCAAAUGAUGAUUGGUCGCUAAAGUGAUGAUCACUUUAGCAAUGGAGUUUUGGAGGUUUGACUAAGUUUUCAUUUACCUUUUUCUUAAGUUAGAGAAGGGUGUAUCAUUAAAGUGUUGUUUUAAAAUUCAAGUAAUGAGAAAUAUUGAUCAAGCAACAUAUUGUAGCUUGAGUGAGAAAGAUCUUGAUAAAUAAUUUUGCUUUAAUUUAGAUAGUACACAAAGCAUGGGUUAGACGCUUAAGUGAUAAAAACUCUUUCAAACCACAUUACACAACUUGAGUAGUGGUUCACAUUUAUUUUAUUUAUUUUUUAUUGUUGAUAAAAAAAAAUACAACUUGAGUGAAGAAACUUUGGUGACAUAUUUUCAUGUGUUUUUUUAUUAGUUACUUAGGCAACCUAUCUUCACUUAAGUUGAUUGAUUUAUACUGGAUUUGGAUUCAUAUAUAAAUUUUCACCUACCUUCAAAUUUUACCUACGAAUUAUUAUUACAGGUAAAAUUGAGUUACCUUGUCAAUGAAAAUGUCAUUGUAAGUUUUAUAGUUCAAUCAAGACUUAAACCGUCACUAUUAGUGUUUUAAUGACAAUUUAGCACAAAAUUAUCAUCCUAAAUGGACUCAAUAAUGAUGAAUAAUAAAGACAAAUCUGUCAAGAAAAUAAAAAAGAAAAAUUGAUGGAAUGCUAAUAAGUACGUUGACCACCAUAAAGUUUGAGGAGUCAAAUACUACUCAUAAACAAAUUGUAGCAAAACUUAAGAUAUUGGAAUUGACUAUGAAUGAAAAAAUCCUUAUAAAAUUUAUUUUAAACUUAUCAUUAUCUGAGUAUAGCUCAUUUCAAAUAACCUAUAAUACCAUACUAAAAAAUGGAAUGUAUCAAAUUGCACAACAACUUGGUUCAAGAAAGAACAAGGUUUAAAAAUUAGGAAAAGUAACUUAGUUUAUUAUGUAAGUCAUAAAAAAAGUUAAAGAACUAGAAAAAAAUUUAUGAGAAAACAUGAUAUAGGUAUGUUAAAGGUUAAUCAAACAUCUAAAAAUCUAAAAGACAAUAAUCGUCAUUUAUGUGAAAAACUUUCAUAUUUUGAGAAGGAUUACUGAAAACAUAAAGUUUUGGUUCAAAAGAAGGUAAAACUUAAUGUUUACCUAUACUAAUCAAAUUUAACUAAAGGAGGGAUUACUUAGUGUUUAAAUCAUAAGUUUAAAUAAAAUAUUCUUUAUAAAAAAAUAAAGUGAUGAAAACUCUAGUGGAAGCGGUCUGAUCUUAUCUUUUACAUAUUUUAAUUUUUUUAAUUUUAUUUUAUUAAUAUGAAAAGUGAAUAUAACAUAAUAUAUUACACACCAUGAGUUUAUUCUGUUACUUUAAAAUGUAUAAAAACAAACAUGAAACACAUAAACAAGCAAUUAGAAAUAACACUAAGGAAAUUAUCUCAGUUAAAGAAAUUCAUGAAAUAAAAACUAAUUUUAAGAACAAAAAAUAAUUAGUUCGUUAUAGUGAUUAAAUUAGAAACAUUUUAUAAAUUAAAAAAACUUUUGGUUUCUAAACUAGUUCCUAUCAUUAUUAAAUAGUUUUCUCUAAUUAACUACCAAAGUUUAAACUACCAAUUAUUUAGAUUUUAAAAUAUUCUUUAAUUUAGUCACUAUAACUCCCAAUUUUUUUUUUAUGUCUUACAACCAAAGUAUCCUAGGUAUAUGUGUUUGUUGAUUUUUUGGUGAAUUGUAUUUGUAGAGAUAAUGCAUGUAUAAGGGUUGGAACACUCCUAAAAUGUUUCAUUUAUUUUAUUUUAUAUAUUCACUGAUAAAAAAUAUUAAUUAUUUUUUAUCUUUAAAAUUGAUUUUUAUUUCAUAUGAUAAGAGACAGAUUCUUCUACUUGAUGAACUCCAUAACCUCUAAAAUGUUGACGUGACAUUCAUAUCUGAUGCCACUGAAUCCAGCUGCUCUUGCCAAUUCCAUGAACUCUUCUUCACAUCGCUCUUUACCUCCUGGGUUCUGAGUCAUCAUCGCAACAUCCAUUUGUGCAACCCCCUUAUAAGCAUUAUUAGUCUCUGGUAACUUUGGAAGAAUUGACUCCACAACUAUCACCUUUCCAUCAUCAGGAAUUGCAUCAUAGCAAUUCUUCAACAGCUUCACACAAUGUUCAUCACUCCAGUCAUGAAGUAUCCACUGUACAAUUACUUAAUGUCAAACCCCAUUGAAUAUAACUCAUGCAUCAGUUUGAACUAAACUCUUUUUUCAACCAACUAUUAUUCAUAUAUUUCCCUCCUCACUGACACUUUACCUUCAUAAAUAUGGCGUCUCCUUUAGGCACACUUUCAAACAUGUCUCCCUCAACGUGUUCCACUCCUGCAAAAUCUUAUUGUCUUGUAAAAUCUCAAAGUUGACCAAAUAAGUCUUCAAAAGACGAAAAGAACAUAUUUUUUUUUUAAAUUUAGAUUGGAACGUGUAAGGGUGAUACCAGGAUAGGAAGGAGCAUCUCGAAUGACAUGAGGCAAGUCGAAAUUGAUGCCAUGAAUAUCAGGGUAUUUAGAAGUGACCAAGUUAAUGUUGAUUCCAAGACCACCACCAACAUCCACCAGUGUUUUUAUGCCCUCAAAACCUUUGUAGGAUUCCACAACCUUCUUCAUCACCAAAGUGGUGUGAUUGAUCAUUGCUGUGUUGAAAGCCUUAUUGAAUCUUGAGUCCAAACGUGGAUAGUCAAAAGCAUGAGUGCCAUGAACCCUGUUGAAUGGAAUACCCCCCUCCCUAAUUGCAUCUUUCAGCUCACUCCUAAUAAUGUAUAAACAAACUUAUUUCACUUGAGCAAAUGAAGAAACAUUUACUUCCAAUCACAUAAUUUAGCAGAUCGCAUACAAUCAUAAUGCUGAAAUAGCAAACCCUGUUUUGACUCAAUCAUGUGGCUUUAUUCUUUUAUUUUAUCACAACACUUAUCACCCGCAUUAAAUUUGAACUAUUGUAUCCCUUUGAUUAGCAAGAGAGAGAAUGAAAGAUUGCAACAUCAAGGAGUCAAAACUGUGACCAACGACAAACAAAUUGCACACAGACCAUGACAAAGUUUGUAGAGAAUCAUCACUAGUUUUUUUGGUAUAAUUUAAGAGUGAAGUGUUGGAUUUCUUUAAGAUUUUACUUUAGAUCAAUUGAAGGUUUUGAUCCUUUAAAAAAAAUAAUAUAAUAGUUGAAAGAGAGUGAGUUGAACCAGCUUUGUAGGAAGAUUUUGUCUUGGACCAAGGCCAUCGCGGGCCACAACGAAACUCCAUCAGAAUUGGGAACAAAGAAUGCGGCGACGGGAGUCAUGGUGUAGAGCCGGUGAAAGGUGGGAGGAACACGGUGGUCGGAAGCGAGGGAAGAGUUAAGAAUGGAGUGAGAAGAAAGAAGUGCGAGGAGACGAUCUAGCAUUGAGGCUGCUUCUGGGUUACUGCAACUAAUCUUUGAUGCUAUUUCCUUAGCAGAAAGCUUAGCACCUUCUCCCGCUUCUUGCAGCACCUCAAACACUCCCAGCUCCGUCGCCGAUUGCACUGCCAUCGGAAGGACCACCGAACCUACAAUCUCCAUGGCUCGCGAGAAGCUUUCUGCAUCUUCUAUUUCUGAAUCUGGAAGGGUUGCCAUCUCCACUUGAACACCUGCAAAUCACUCACAACUUCCACACCUUAAACUAGUAUAUAUUUACACACUACUCUUCUUCUUUCCCUUACGAAGACAAGAAAGAGAAGAGAAGGGAAGAAAAAAGAAGAGGUCUAUAUAUAAAGGGAAAAAAUCUUAUCCUUAACCUUCCUUUUUCAGUGCUUUUUUUUAAGGUAUUUUUUUACAAAUUAAACAAUUUUCUUCUUUAAUUUUAUAGUUUUGAAUAGGCUGCUAUAUAUUAACACAUUCAACCCUAAAAACACACAUUUCCCGUUAUAAUAAGUUAAUAUUUUAUUUUAUUUUUUAAUUUAAUAAUAUUAUUAUAUUAUUAUAAACAGUGUCAAAUGUAAUUUUUUUUACUGUUUAUGUGUUCAUGCAAUAUUUUUCUCUUUUGAAUAAACAUAUUUCAAUGAUAAUAAAUAAUUUAAAAUUAAUUUCUCUGAAUUUAAAAUAAAUGAUACUUGUUUAGCUAAAGUAAAUAUAAUGUGUAUUUUUUAUAAUAAAAAUAAUUAUGAAUAAUUACUGCAAUAUUUAUUAUUUUAGUGAAACUAUCUAUGGUAACUCUCUUGUAAAACAAACAUGACUUACGAAUCAAUAUUGAUCAUCAUUUUUUAGCCAUGAUUUUUAAGCUACAUUUUUGUGAAAUGACUUUUAAAAAAAAUGCAUCACGGGAAAAGUAGUGUGACCUAAAAUAAUAAAAAUAUGGAAAUUUUUCUAUUUUGAAAAUAGAAGGAAAUUUUUUUAGAAAUGUAACUUACAAAUAUUAUACAUCAUGUGUCAUAAAAGGUGGAUAAUUUAAACCACAGAAUUUUUAAUGUGGCUUAUAAUAAUUAUCAAUAAACAAUAAAAAAAUUGUGAACUAAAAACCUCUAUCUUAUAGUUAAAAUCUUUAAAAUUAAAUCUAUGAUAUUUUUUUUUUUAUGUUUUUAAAUAUUAUACGGAGGUUUUGAAACUUAUGAUAUUGUAUGGAGAUUCUUAAACCCAUUAUAUUUAACCGAGGUUCUAAAAGAUGAAAUUAAAAAAUCCUUAAAGAACAUGUUUUUUUUAUGAAUGGUUUAGCGUGUAACUUUAGAUAAAUAACUUAAUAAAAAAUUUUACCUCGAAUAAUGUAAAAAGAAACCACUUUUUUUCUUAUAGUUUUUAUAUGUGUUUUCAUUAAUGAAUAUAUAUAUUUUCUUUAAUAAUAUAUUGUAAAUUUUUUGUUGAGUUAACUUUACAAUAUGUUAUAUAUAGGUUUCUUUUGAAUUAUUCAGAAGUUUAUAUUGAAAAGAAUGGAAUAAAAAUUUGAGAAGGAAGACCAUCAUGAUUCAUACAAUUAACUACUGUCUGAAAAUAAUUUUUAAAUAUGUUUUUUAAUUGAAACCCGAAAAAUUAUCAUAAGUUUUUGUGAUGUCAUAAAAGUAUAAAAAUGGAAUAUCUUUUCAAUCUAAUGUAAAAAUAAGGCAGAAUGUUAAUUAUAAUAUUGGAAAUGAUUUUUACUAUUUCUUCUGUAAUUGGCUAGAUUUUGUAUAAAUUGUCAAAAUACUCCUAAUUAAUCAAUUUAAGAAGUCUAAAAUUGAUUUUUAGUGAGAAUAUUUUGAUACUUUUUAUCUUUAAAAGUUGAAGUCAAGUUUAUCAGAAUGAUCAUGAGUACUUUGAUUAUUUUAUACAAAAUUAUAUAACUAUAGUAAAAAUUUUAUAAUUAUGUAAUAUUGUAGAUCAUAUUAUAAGUGUAAAAUAAAGUUCUGAAUAUUGUGCUUAUUGUUAUCACUGUAAAGUAAAGUAAUAAACUAAAUUACUGCUGUUCAAUUUGACCGUUCUGAAAAUAAAAUAUAUUACCCUUAUGAUCAAAUUGAUAAUACUGUUAGUGAUGAUUUGCAAAUUUUUAAAAAAAAAUCCUUUAACUCUUAUUUGUAAAGGAAUCCAUCCAUUAUUACCCUGUUAGGGAUAAUACUAUGAGUUAAAUCCACUAAAAAACGAUCAUUUACCUUCCACGGUGAUUUAACUUUCAUAUGUAUGUGUGAGUUCACAUUUAACUUUCAUAUGUAUGUGUGAGUUAAGUGUGAACGUGAUUUUUUUAGACCAAAUCCAUGCAAAAUUGAUGCAAAAGUAUAUUUUUUUGGAAAUCUGACGCAUAAUAGACGUAAAUAUAGAUUUAAAUAAAAAAUGGACUAUAAUUUAUAUUUAUUUAAUGUAUAAUAUGGUAAAAAAUAUUAUAAUUUUUACUUGUUUAUUGUAUUUAUUUUAAUUUUUUUAAUAAUUUUGGUAUAUGUUAGUUAAUAAAUUGAUUACGUGUUUAUUUUUAAAUUAUUUUAAAAAAAUAUCUUAAACAAUUUAAAAAGAAUUGAAAAAUGUUAAAAAAUAAUAAUUGAGUAAAAGAAAAAAUGUAAUUAAAUUUAUAAAUGUUAUACAAAAUACUUAAAUUUUUUAAAAAUUAAUUAUUUUAAUUUAAUUUCAUUUAUAAUAAGUAUUUAGAUAUAAAUUAGUUAAAUUAAAUUUAUUAAAUUGAUUAAUAGUUUAAUUUAAAAUUAUUUAAAGAAUUAUCCUAUAAAGUUUAUAAAGAAUUGAAAGAUGUAGAAAAAUAAUAAUUGGGUAAAAAAAUACAUAUUUAAAUUUUUAAAAUAUUAUGUAUUUAUUUUUUGUUGUAUAAAUUAAAUAUAUGUUUUGUUCUAUAAAUGAAAUUAAGUUUUUUUUUCUAUAAAUUAAAAUAAAUUUUUGUUGUAUAAAUUGAAUUUAAUUGUUUUGUAUAAAUUAAAGAAAGUUUUUCUUAUAAAUUAUAUCAUUUUUUUAUACAUUAAAUUUAUUUAUUUGUUAUAUAAAUUUAAAAUAAAAUAAAUUAAAUUUUUGAAAGUUUGAAUAUAAUUUUUAUUAAAUUAUAUUUAAGCUACAUACUUAUGAAAAUUUUCAAGUGCCUCACAUUAAUAAUAAUAAGUAUAAUAAAAAUCAUAAUAUUACAAAAGAAUUUGUCUGGUUUAGUGGUUAAAGCUUAUUUGGUCACGGAAAAAAAUAAAUAAUCACUUGACAACUUAACUUUUAAGAGUAAUGUGAUUAUUGAAUUUUUUUUUUAAUUAUAAGAAAAAAUGAAAAUAUGUUUUUAUUUAAUUUAACAAAACUUAUUUUCUAAUUAGUUAUUUUGACCAUUCAAUACCCAAGUUUUUUUUGUUUUAUUGAUGAAUGUUCUUUUUGAAAAUUCUACUAUAUCAAAAUUCAAGUCUUUUUUUCUACUAGAGUCACUACAAAAAUUUAUUAUUUUAAUAGAGAUUUAUUCGUGGAGGUUUUUAUAACAUCUGGUAAUGGACACUGUUAGUAGAGGUUUCUUAAAUCCCUGAUAAACAUCAAUAGUUUUUUAAUAAGUCAAAGUAAAAUAUUUCAAUUUUCUUCCUUUCUCCUAGAGAAACAAUGCUCUCUAACGUCAACCCUAGGUUAUUUCUCACAUUUUUUGUUUUCAUUUCCAACUUUCAAAAUCCAACAAGACCCCAUUCUCUUCUUUCACUCUCUAUUUCGUCUUCUAUUUUCAUCCUCAUCUAGCAAUCAUCUCUUUCUCUCGCAUUAUUUUCAUCAUCAUCUUCUAUUUGACUCUGGCUCAGAUUCACUUUUCCAAGCCUUCAGGAAGAGAGUGGCAAUGUUGUAUUCCAGGAAGAGCGAGUCAAUAUAUAACUUCUUCUAUUUCAUCAUUCCAAACUAUGUACACAUACGAAGAAACUAAUUUCAUAUUUUUCUGAUAGAAACUGAUUGAAGGAAGAUUUGGUGAUGUAAUGGAGGAAGUCGUGAGGACUCACCAAGCUAUCAAGUAAGACAGAAAUCUCUCACUUAAUUUUAACCUCUAACUUUGACUUGUCUGUUUACUUAACAUAUGUAAUCUUUAACAAAAAUAUUAACAAGAAAAUACGAUAGAGUAACGUGUAUAGAGUAACGUGUAUAGAGUGAUGCAAUAAUGUAUUAGAGUAUUGUAUCAGUAUUUCCAUUGCAUAUUAGAAUUUAGUUAAUGAAACCCAGUUUUAACAAUGAGAGAUGGAAUUUGUGAAGAAAUGGUGAAUGAGAUUUAUGAAAAAAAAAGGAAGAAAUUGAAAAUGCAUUGAGUUAGUUUGAAUCUGUUUUGAUAUUUGUAUUAAUGUGUGAAAUGAAAGUCUCUAUAUUCUAAUGGAAGAUGAAGAGCUCUUUCUGUGGCAAUCAUGCUCCUAUUCUUCAAUAUCAUAAUCAUUUCCGACAAAGUUAUUAGCUGUAGUGGAAUAGUUUGACUUGCCAAGAUUGAAGCUCAUGUGUGAAUCAAUAUUUUGUAGUGACAUAUCUAUAUAUUUUGUUCCAUAUAUUCUGGUUCUUGCAAAUCGUUAUCGUGCUAAUGAGUUGAAGUCCAUCUGUCAAAAAUUUUGUGUUGAAAACUAUGAUGGUGAGAGUUCCUACUUAACUACUCAAAUUGAGUUUUCAGUUUAGAAUGUUUUAGCCUGAAACAUGGUUUCUGCAUUAGUUGUUAAUGUUUGGAAGUUGAUUCUCAUAUUCUUUCAUCAUUGUCUGUUGCAGCUGUGAAGAAAUCUGGUGGUUUGGAGUAUCUCAGGCAAAGAGGUGAAAGUUCAAAGGUUCACAUUUCUAAUGCUGAUAACAACAACAAUAAUCCAUUAGGCAUUACUUUUAAGAUUUGGAAUGAUCAAGAAAAUUAGUUGAUUAUAAAGACUAUGUACUCUUGAUAAAAAAAAAGAUAAUGUAUUACUUAGAAGGUACCAUGUUUCUUCAUUAUAUUAUUUUGUUGGGUAGUUAGUUGUAUUAAAUAUUAAUUUAUGUUUUCCUAUUUAGCAAAAAUAAAUUGAAUAAACUUGUACUGGAUUUAAUACUUUUACUUUUUGAUGCGAAUUAAAUGAGUUUACAAUGUUUAUGAUAUUCUCAUUAUUAUAACUUUUAUGAAAUAAGUUUAUUAUAUUCUCUAUGAACGUAGAUCCAUGAAGGAACAAGAAAAAAAAUCAUAAUUAGAGGUAGGUACAAAACUUUUGUUCUGCACGGAAACAUUUUCCAAAAAUAUAUGGGAUUAUUAUGAGUCAAGUCUUGCACAAUUAUUUGAGGUUCAGAACAAACUCUACAAUGUAAGACUUGAUUAUUUUCAUUCAAAAAAUUAUCUUGAUGAUGAUAUAUAUAAGUGAUGAAGUACCACAUACUAAUUCAAAUCUAAAACACAAUCACGACCAACUAGAUUUAACUUAUGAUAUAAACAUAUAUAUAUAUAUAUAUAUGCCUCGGUUUCAUCAGUACUUCAUCUCAAAAUAAUAGAUUUUUUAUUAUAAUAUUACUCAUUAUAUGAAUAAUAAUAAUAAAAAGACAAAUUGAAGGGUUAUUUUAUUCAAAAAUUUUAUUAUUUGUCACAUAUUUUUUAUAUAUCCACCUCCUAGAAAUAAUAGGAGUUUUCAAACUGCCGGAAAUAGCGGGAGUUUUCAAAAUCGUCGGAAAUAGUGAGGUUUUCAAACAGUUGAAAAUAGCGGGGGUUUUCAAAACAGUCGGGAAUAACGAAGGUUUUCAAAACUGUUGGAAAUAGUAGGGGUUUUCAAAUUGUCGGGAAUAACAGUAAUCACUUAGCGACGUUGAAUCUUUCAUAGAAAAAGCAAACCGCGAGUAAUACACUUAACAUGGGUUAAAACUGCAAAAAAUAACCCAUUAAAAUUAAUUUAUUUUUGUAGUGAGUAUGUUUUUCUAUAAGAGUAUUUUAAGGGUAUAGUUUUGUCAAGAGUAAUUUUUGUUUGUAACAAGUAGAAUCAGUAUUAUAAAUAGUUUUUCUUUUCCAUUAUAAUCAAAGAUUUACCUUUUCAUAACUUCUGUAAUAAAUUUUCAUUAAAUAGUAAUGUAGAGUGCAAAAAUAAAAUUUUAUAUCUGAUUUAGAACAAUAUUAAAAAACCUUAUGAUAUUUGGUACAAUAUUCUGAAUAACAAAAAAAUAUUUUAUUUCUUAUAACAAAAAUUAUAAUUUCCUAUUCUAACAAAUUUAAAAACUAUUUUAAAUUAAAUUUUUUGAAUAUUUAAAAAAAUUAGAGAAAUUUGAAUUUGAAAAAAAAUAUAAAGAAUCCAAAUUUUACAAUUUUACCCUUUAAAUAACUAUUUUUUUUAAAAUUCAAAUAAUUCUUUCCAAUAAAAAAUAACCUACACAAUAAAAAAAAUUGCAUACAACAAACUUAAAAAAUUAAUUAUUUUUGUAAUAAUUUUUAAUAAAAAUAUUUUUAUAAUUUUAUUUCAAUAGUUAUUAUAAUAAUAAUUUUUUUAUAAAGAAAAAAAGUGUAGUUAUUCCUCUUUAAAAAAAUAUAUUUGUUUACUAUAUAAAAUAAAUAAUUUAUUUUUAUUUUAUUUUAAAAUAAUAAAUAAUUUUUCUUAAAAGUAAUUGAUAUAUAUGGAUAAUAAUUUCUACCUUAUAUAAAUAUUUUUAAAUAAAGAAUAAAAUAUAUUUUAAAUUCAUGUUUUUGUACAUAGUAAGAUUUAUAAUAAUAUUUUAAAUUUAUAUCACAUAUUAAUUAUAUAAUAUUUUAUAAUAAAAUAAAAUAAAAAUGCACUUAUAGGUCUGUGUUUUCAUUAGUUAGUAAUAAUAAUAAUAAAGAUAAAAGUAAUGUAUUUAUUCUAAAACAAUAUGCACAAAGUUUUUUCGGAUUCUGUAUAAAUGGUCAAAAAUUCACCUUUUUUUUCAUUAAAAGUGAUGCAUAUUACGAAAAUUUCAUUACUCCAAUCUCUUAUAGUCAAAUUGUUGGAAUGGAGUUCCAAUUUUGUCAUGGUUUGUUAGUGCUUUAUUAAUAUAAUUUUGGCAAAAAUUUGGUGUUUGAUACAAAACUUAAGAAUUAAAAAAUUACAAUCUUUUUCUAAAUUAAUUUAUGCACAAGAUAAUUUUAUAAUUUUGAAAAAUGUAUUUUUUAUUAUUUGAAAUAUUUAUAAAAUUUGUCCACUAUUUAAUACACGAAACAAUAAUAUUCUAGCUUUAUUUCUACGAAAAAUAAAUAUUAAAGUAUGCAAUCAAUCACUACCACCUUGAUUAAAAGUCGACUCAAUUUAUCAAAUAUCAUUAUUUACACUUUUAUUUCUCUCUCUAACAUUCUUUUGUUUUUAUUUCUUUAUCUAGCACCCUUUUAUUUUUAUUUUCCUACCUAUCACUAUUUCAAAAGUAAAAAAAUAAUAAUAAUUUUUUUUUUAAUUUUGAAUGGAUUAAAAAAAUAAAUAUUUUUAAUGUUUAAAAUAGUUAUUAAUGAAUAAAGAAAUGAGUUUCUAAAAAAUAAAAAUAAUAAAUAAUAAAUUAAAAAUGUUUAGUUUAAUUUUUUUUAAAUGAAGAAAAUGAAAAUUUAAGCCUACAACAACAUAAAAGUUGAAUAUAUAAACAUAAAUUAGUAUUUAUUUUUAUUAUUAUUUAUGAUGUAAUCAUGUUAAUUUCAAGUAAAAAAUAUAGGAUAUAAUUAUAAAAAAAAUCAAAAUCAAAAUCAAUUAAUAUUAAUUUGUAGUGGACACAUAGAUAAUAUUAUAGUGUCUACUCAUUUUUAAGCAUUAAGUAUAACAUUUGCAUUAAUUUUUUUUUUAGGAUUUUGCAUUUAGGGUAGACACUUCAAUAUUAUAUGGGUGUCAACUACUAAUUAAUACUAAUUUACUUUGUUUUUUUUUAUAAUUAUGUCCUGUAUUUUUUACUUGAAAUUAACAUGAUUACAUCAUCAAUAAUAAUAAAUAAAUACAAAUAUUCAUUUGUGUUUAUAGAUUCAACUUGUAUGUUGGUGUAGGGUUUAAUUUUUUAUUUUCUUCAUUCUUAAAAAAUAUUUAAACUAAACGUUUUUAAUUUAUUAUUAUUUUUUUGUAAAAAAUAUUUCUUUAUUCAUUAAUUAUAUUUCUAACUAUUUUAAACAUUAAAAAUAUUUAUUUUUUUAAUUUAUUCAAAAUUAAAAUUAUCAAUUUUUUUAAUUUUUUAAUUUAUUUUUUUACUUUUGAAAUAGUGUUAGAUAGGGAAAUAAAAACAAAAGGGUGCUAGAUAAGGAAAUAAAAACAAAAGGGUGUUAGAUGGGAAAAUAAAAAUGUAAAUAGUGUUAUAUGAGGAAUUGAGUCUCAAAAGUCUUCUCAUAAUUUAAAUUUAAAUUUGAUUUCUUUAAGCUAACUCCUUUAUGAAAUUUGUAUUAUUUUAAUAAUAUACACUACAAGAAAAUCAUCAAAUAGAAAUCAAUUUUAGAGUAAAAAAUAAUUAGUUGCUAUAGUGACUAAAUUAAAUAUCACUUUAGAGACUAAAAUAUUUUUUAGUUUCUAAAUUGGUAUCUAAUUAAUAUCAAGGUUUUAAUGACCGAACUGUUUUGUUCAGGUUCGUUAUUAUACUGAGUUAAAAACUUUGGUUAGGUGCCGACCAAACUGCUCAGGAGAUAAGGGAAUAUUUCAAUCACAAAUCCUACAAUAUUUGUUAAAGAAGUAGUAGAACACCAUUUAUCAUUUCAAAAAUUAAUAAAAGUACAUGUACCAAUAGUCUAAGAAAUAUAAUCAAGUAUAUGAGAAUAAAAUUGUAUAAUUCCAGGCCAAAGAUAUGAGGAUCUAUAAACCAUUCUAAACUCAUAUUUUGAUUUAAGAACCCUGACUUUCAGGAGAAAAGACAAAGGUCUGUUACUAUAAACAAAGUUCCAAGCAAGCUUAAGAAGAUAUAUAUUAUUUUCACGAUGAAGGUUAAUAAUCUUCAAACCUCAUUCUAAAAAGGAAAACAAAUCGUAACCCAAUUAGUGGUAGAUAUGCAUUUUUUCAAAAUAUCACCAAUCGAAAUAAAAUUUCGACACCCUUCUCAACUUGCUUAAAAAGUGAAACAUAUAUACCAUUUGUACACAUUAAAUAUAUAAACUAGAAAUUCAAUAAUCACCAUAUUAACCAACUAAAUCAACCCAUCAUGCUAAGAAAUAAGUUGUUCAAUUCCUUAUUCAGAAGGUAUUUGAACUUAUAUUAUUAGCUUCAUCAUUUAAAAAAAAAGUUCAUCUCAAAUAGUUUAACUCUAGAUUAAUUUUUUUAUAUUAUUUGAUUUUAUUAUUCCAUACGUAUAGAUUUGAAGAAUCUUUAACUUUUUGUAACUGUUAUUUGGAUAUUUAGUAACUUUCACAUAAAAACUUUUCAAAAUUGAAAUUGAUUUCUAAACUGUAUGAGUCUUAUUGUUUUAAAUUGGUGGCUUGAGUAUUGAAAUUAAAGAAAUAGACAUUGAGGUUUAGGGUUUUUUUGAAAUUGAUAAGAGUAUGUGAAGGUCAACUUGAGUAAUAUUAGUUAUUUUGAGCUUUAUGUUUUUUUUAUCAGCAAAUAGUAAUGAAAUUAAAUGAGACAAAUUCAGGGGUGGUCCAACCCUUAUACAGCAAAAUGAUGCUCACAAAGUACCUUUCCAUCUACAUAUCAACCAAAAAAAUAACAAAGAUCAACCAAUAUAAAAAACUAAAUUGAAUGCAUACAUACCAAGGGUUCUAGACACCAAUCAGAGAAUGAAAAAUUAGCUGACGGUAUUUUUGAAGAGAUCUAGGACCAAACCUUAAUCUGUGUCAGAGAGAACACUUCAGUAUGAUCAACCACUCCACCUUUAAAUAAACAGUUAUUCUUGUGCCUCCAUAUCUCGCUAACCAACGCAAUCCACAAGUUGCCCAUAAUAAGAUUAACUGAAGUGGGUGCAUCCAGAAUCUUGAAAUGUUCAAAAUGAGACCCAAGAUCCAUAAAAUCGACUGAUCUUAGUCCUAACCAGUCAUAACAAAGAUUCCAAAUUAGCCAAGCAACUCUACAUUCGCCGAACAAAUGAUUUGUUGACUCCUCUGACCUCCUACACAAGCAACACAAAUUACUCUCGACCUCGAUUCCUCUUCUCUUCAGAUUAACCCUACAAGCAACCUUGUUUUCAAUCACUCUCCAAGAUGUGACUUGAGCUGAGGGAAGCGCCCUAAUUUUCCAGAAAAAAUUAUAACUUCUUGAGUCUUCCUCACUUCCUUCUCCCCUUUAAAAACCAUAAGCGAACUUAACUGAAAGCUCUAUUGAAUCACUAUCCUUCCAAACACAUCUAUCCAUUGUUUCCAUCUCGAGCAUCUUAGUAGAGAUCAUCUCUAAGAAUUGACUUUCUUGCUCCUCUUCCCAAGCGAACAUACCCCUUCUCCACCUUAAGUUCCACUCCCAAGUCCUGUUCCCCCAUAUACCACAAUCACAUAAAUUUGCCUCCUUAUUAACAAACAAAGAAAAUAAUCUUGGAAAUCCAAUCUUCAAGGCUUCUGAGUCUAUCCAAUUGUCUGACCAAAACAUAACCUCUCUCCCGUUUCCGACCUCCAAAUUCAAACGAUCUUCAAACUUCCUUCCCCAUUCCUCAAACCUUCCUUAAAUCUCUCCACCACAUAAAGACCUUACUAUUAUUACCUCGCUGCUCCUUCAAACCUCUCUAUCCUCCAUACUUAGAUUCCAAUACCUCCCUCCACAACCCCUGUUUCCGUUUUCAAACGCCAAAUCCAUUUUUCCAUUAGAGCCAAAUUAAACUGCCUGACAUUCAUAAUACCAAGCCCUCCUUCUUCCUUGGAUUUACAAACCUUAUCCCAUGCCACCCAGACAAUCUUCCUUCCAUCUAACCCCCAUCCCCACAAAACAUUCAUCUGCAGGCUCACAAUCUUCUUUAAAACAAUAGGCAAAAUCUUGAAUAGAGAAAGAUAAAACAAAGGUAUUGACGACAAGACCGACUUAAUUAAGCAUAUCCUCCCCGCCAUCGAGAUAAAUCUUUCUUUACCCUGUUAACCACUUCAUCCCAUAACUCACCCCUCUUAUGACACCCCCCUACAGGCAUCCCCAAAUACUUAAAAGGAAUUCUCAUCAUCUCACAAUUUAGAAUUGUCGCAAAGUGGAGAAUCUCCGACUGCUCCAUCCCAAUCCCACCAAGUUUACUCUUAGAAAAAUUCACCUUAAGACCAUAUACCAAUUCAAAAUAGUUCAACGUUACCUUUAUAUUAAAAACACUUUUGCUAUUUGCCUUACAAUACAACAAUGUAUAUAUUGUUAUUGUUCUAUAAUUAAAUUUUAGCGUAAAGAUUGUUAGAGUGAUGCUUAAGCAAACUUUAACCUUAAGUGAAAAGUAUUAUUAUUUAAGUAAGAGAGACAAUAAUAAUAAUCUCUUCUCUUGAAAUUCAUUACUCAAAUAAUGAUUAAUUACUCAGUUUGAAUGUAAAAAUUAAGUGAAAAAUAUUAUUGUUUAAGAAAAAGAGACAAGAGAAAAAUCUUCAUAACAAACUUUAUUUUAAUCUUAAGCCACAUCACACAACUUUAUCACAGGCUUAAUAUUGACUUAUUUUUCAUGAAAAGUGUAUAUAACAUAAUAUAUUAGAAUGCAUAAAAGCAAACAUGAAACACAUAAACAAGCAAUUAGAAAUAACGUAUGAUGUGGUCUACUUGAAGAACUCCAUAACCCAGAAAAUGUUGACACGACAUUCAUAUCUGAUGCCACUAAAUCCAGCUGCUCUUGCCAGUUUCAUGAACUCUUCUUCAGAUCGUUCUUUACCUCCCGGGUUCUGAGUCAUCAUCGCAACAUCCAUUUGUGCAACCGUCUUAUAAACAUCAUUAUUCUCUGGUAUCUGUGGAAGAAUUGCCUCCACAACUAUCACCUUUCCAUCAUCAGGAAUUGCAUCAUAGCAAUUCUUCAACAGCUUCACACAAUGUUCAUCACUCCAAUCAUGAAGUAUCCACUGUACAAUUACUUAAUGUCAAACCGCAUUGAAUGAAGUUGGUAUAAGUCAUGCAUCAGUUUGAAUUAAACUCUUUUUUCAACCAACUAUUAUUCAUAUUCAAGACAAGAAACAUGUUCAUACUUUGUAUUAAAUACAUAAAAAAAAACCAAAUAAUGUUUGAAUAUUAAUGUUUAGAAAUUUAAACUAAUAAAGUCAAACAAAGGGGUUAGAGUUAUGAUAUUUUGACAUGGUCAAAACAAUAUUAAAUGCACAUGCUUAUUAAUUUAAUAAAUUAAUAUUUUAAUUAUAUUGAUUUUAUAUUUUAAUUUAAAAUAUUAUCAUAUUAUUAUAAGGUGUUAUGAAGUGAAUCUGUUUAGAGUUUCAAACCAUAUUUUUCCAAUUAAAUAGUAGUAUAUUUCCCAGACCGAGACUUACCUUCAUAAAUAUGGCGUCUCCUUUAGGCACAUUUUCAAACAUGUCUCCCUCAACGUGUUCCACUCCUGCAAUAUUAGAAAGUAAAUAGUACACACUAUUUAUGUUAUUGUCUUGUAAAAACUCAAAGUUGACCUUCAAAAGACGAAAAAACAACAUUUUUUUUUUAAAUUUUGCAGAACCACAGGAUUGGAAUGUGUAAGGAUGAUACCAGGAUAGGAAGGAGCAUCUCGAAUGACAUGAGGCAAGUCGAAAUUGAUGCCAUGGAUAUUAGGGUAUUUGGAAGUGAUCAAGUUAAUGUUUAUUCCAAGACCACCACCAACAUCCACCACUCUUUUUAUGCCCUCAAAACCUUCGUAGGACUCCAGAACCUUCUUCAUCACCAAAGGGGUGUUGAUCAUUGCUGUGUUGAAAACUUUAUUGAACCUUGAAUCCAAACGUGCAUACUCAAAAGCAUGAGUGCCAUGAACCCUGUUGAAUGGAACACCCCCCUCCCUAAUUGCAUCUUUCAGCUCACUCCUAUAAUAAUAUAUAAACAAAUUACUAGUACCAUACAGAAAUACAUGAAAUCUUUAAAAAUAUAAGAUACGGAAACAUAAAUCUAUAUCUAUAACUAUAUAUAAAGAUGAUUUUUCAUUAUAACCAUUUUUUGGUAUACACAAUUUUUUUAUGAUUCUAUCCUUAUUCAAUAUAUCUCAUCUUAUUAGUAUUUUAUCAUUUCAUAUAAAUUAUUAAAAAAAUAAAAUUAUUUAUUAAUUUGUUAAAUUAAUGUUAUGUGACAGUCUUUAUAUGUAAACUAACUUCUCACUCUUCCUUUACUUUCCUAUUAGGCAACAACAAAAAUAAAGGUGCUCUCACCCUCACUCCUCUAUUAAUUCCCACACCAAAUCUAGCAACAACAGAAAUAAAGAGAUCAUACUCUCACCCUCACUCUUCCAUUCUCACACCAAAUCUAACGUAUACAACAAAAUAACAUACAUUUAUUUUCAAUCACUCUCUCGAGUUCAUUUCAAACAACUCUAUUCUUUGGUAAAACCAUCAUUCUUUUUUAUCUACCAUCAAGUGAAUCUUAACAUUAACAUGAACAUCAUCACACUCUCCGAUUCCAAAACCACCCAUGGAAGAAAAUAAAAAACUUGAAGGAGAGAACUCAAACCAUAGGAGAAACAAAAUGUUGAUUAAUCAAUUUAUCAUUUAUUUUUUACAUAUUAUUUUUUGUUUUUCAAUUUUGACUCAUCCAAAAUUAUUGUUGUAUGUAUGUUAAAUUUUUAUCAUCAUAUAAGUUAAACAGAAGAAGGAAUGCGGAUACACAUACACUACAAUGCCUCUGAUUUCGCUAGUAUUAUAUAAUUUGACAAUAAAUACUUAUGUGCACAAGUAUCACUUAUUUUUAGUAAAAAUAUGUUUCUCAUUACUAGUUAAAAAGGAUUUGUUCCUUAUUUUUAUAACUAUAAUAAAAAUUUAUAUAAUAAAUUUGAGUUUUUAAAAAUUUAAUGUAUUUUUUUUUUUUAAGAUUGUAUUAGAACCAUACUAGAAUUGUCAGAAAUCCAACAAAUAUUUUUUGAAUUGAACACUUCACAUAUACAUAUUCUACAAACAUAUUCUACAAGUGUCAUAUACAUAUUCUACAAGUGUCGAUAUGUAAUACAUGUAUCGAUAUGCAUACCAUUUAAGAUACUUGUCCUAAACUCUUAGCACGUUAGAUAUACGAAUAUGUUUGUGAUGGAAAAGAACAUAAAAUGAUAAUAAUAGUUGAGAGAGAGAGAGUUUAACCAGCUGUGUAGAGAGAUUUUGUCUUGGAUCAAGGCCAUCACGGGCCCCAACGAAACUCCAUCAGAAUUGGGAACAAAGAAUGCGGCGACGGGAGUCAUGGUGUAGAGCCUGUGAAAGGUGGGAGGGACACGGUGGUCGGAAACGAGGGAAGAGUGAAGAAUGGAGUGAGAAGAAAGAAGUGCGAGGAGACGAUCUAGCAUUGAGGCUGCUUGUGGGUUACUGCAACUAAUCUUUGAUGCUAUUUCCUUAGCAGACAGCUUAGCACCUUCUCCCGCUUCUUUCAGCACCUCAAACACUCCCAGCUCCGUCGCUGAUUGCACUGCCAUCGAAAGAACCACUGAACUUGUAAGCUGUAUGGCACGCAAGAAGCUUUCUUCAUCUUCUGUUUCUUCUUCUUCCUUCCUCUUCUCUUCACCAUUGAGCCUUGAAUUUGGAAGGCUUGCCAUCUGCACUUCAACACCUGCAAUCACUCACCACUUUCUACGCUUGAAACUAUACUCUUCUUCCCUAUUUUUCCACAAUAUAUUGAACAAUCCAAUGAUCUUUUGAAUGCUUCUUUUGUAAGGUGCUACUCUUUGACCCGUGCAACACACGUCUUUUUCAUUUUUUACUUAACAUUAGUUAACAAAAAAUAAAUUUAUAUUAUAAGAAUAUUAUAAAGUAGUGUAUAAAAAUAACAUACAAUUAAAUGUAUAUUUUUAUGGGUAAAAUAAACUUGUAAAUAUAAUAAUAAGUAUACAGUUGUGGUAUGGUAGAUGGAAUGUAGGUAUUAGACGGUAUGAAACAUUAGACCUUAUAUUUCAUAAUUUGAAUUGUUUGAUUUGUUUUUUUUUCUAUAUUGUUUAUAUUUAAGGAUUAGGAUUAGGAUUUAGGAUUUAUAUUUAGCUAUGUGGAUGUAUAUUUUGAUAUUUGAAUAUGUUAAUUUUGGAUUUUGUAGUAUUUUCAUAUUGGUAGUAGACGAUGAAGAGAGAAUGCUAGUUUUCAUCUUUACAAAAUAGUUGUUGCUUAUACUCAAUCCAUUUUGUAUUAAGUGAUUCAAAGAUAUAUCUUAUAUGAACAUCAAAAUAGCGGAUAGGAAAUACUGACAUUUCUUGCAACCAUUACACUAAACAAGUUCUUUUAUCACAUUAUGAUUUUUAUUAUACUUACUAUCAUUAUUCUUAAUAUUAAUAUUAAUAAUAAUAUAAAUAUUAUUAAUAUUUAUAAUAUCAUUAUUUAUUAUUGAUUAUUUUUUAAUUAAAUUUUAAAUAAGUUACAUGUGGAUUGUAUUAUCGUAUGUAACUGUUAUUUUUAAUUAAAUUUUAAUAAAUUACAUACAAAUAAAGUCUGUACGUAACAUUUUUAAUUAUUUUAUAAUUAAAUUUGAAAUAUGUUACAUACGAAAUUUAUCCAACAAUUUUUUUUUAAUUUUCAUUACAUACAAAUUAUUUUUUAAUUAAAUUUAAAAUAAAUUACAUAUGAAUUUAAACUGUAUGUAACUGUUUUUUUUUAAUUAAAUUUUUAAUAACUGUUUUUUUUUAAUUAAAUUUUUAAUACAUUAUAUAUAGAUAUAAUUCGUAUGUAACACUUUUUUUUAUUUUUUAAUUAAAUUUGAAAUAAGUUACAUAAGGAUUUAAACUGUAUGUAACAGUUUUUUUAAUUAAAUUUUUAAUACAUUAUAUAUGGGUAUAAUUAGUAUGUAACACUUUUUAUUAUUUUUUAAUUAAAUUUAAAAUAAAUUACAUACAAAUUAUAUCCGUAUAUAACAGUUUCUUAUAAUUAAAUUUUCCAUUUUUUUUAAAAUUAAAAUUAAUGUUCCAUGGCUAUAUUAUUUUAGAUAUUCUAUAUCAUUAUAACUAGAAUAAGUAUUAUUUAUAUAGAAAGUGUGAGCCACAUUAAUUAUAGGUCAAUAUUUAUUUUAUUUUAAGGCAUUAUUUCCAGAUACGAUAUCCGAAGCUUGCGAUAGCACUAAUAUUUUAAGGUAACAAAUAACAUUUUUUUAAUUAGCAUAUGCGUAUAUGAUCUUGUGCAAGCUAGCUAAGAACUUCACUUUUUCCCUUACACUUAUCUUCAUGUUGUAUCAAGCAAAUUGGACCUAUAAUUUAUUUUCACAAAGUAAAAUGGUGCUUUGUUGCUACAUAGACCUAAUAAACAAUGGUAUUUGAUAAUAGUAGCCAAAGAUGCUUUACAGAAAAUGUUAAAAGAUGUGACCGGAAUGUUUAGAGUUAAGUGAUGUUACAUUGGUUUAGAUAAUUAUUGAAAUUGUUAUUAAUAAUUUUUUUUUACAUAAUGAUAAUUACCUAUAGAUUUAGAUUUAUAGAUAAAUUUAGACAUACCUACAAAUGAUUACUGUAGGUAAAAUGGAGUUACCUUGUUAAUGAAAAUGUCAUUGUAAGUUUUAUAGUUCAACGCCGACUUAAAACAUCAUUAUUAGUGUUUUAAUGACAAUUUAUCACAAAAUCAUCAUUUUAAAUGGAUUCAAUAAUGAUGAAUAAUAGAGACAAACCUGUUAUGAAAAUGAAAAAAAUAAAAUUUUGAUGGAAUAAGUAUGUUGACUACCAUAAGGUUAUGCAUAAACAAAUUGUAGGAAGACUUAAAACUUUGGGAUUGAGUGUGAAUAGAUUAUUUCAAAUCACCUAUAAUACCAUACUAAAAAAAUGGAAUAUGUCUGAACUGCACAAACAUGUUAGGUUUAGCAAAGAACAAGGUUUAAGUAUGUUAAAGGUUAAUUAAACAUCUAAAAAUCUAAAAGAAAUAGUGAAAAGGCAAUACCGGUCAUUUAUGUGAAAAACUUGUACAUUUUGACAAGGAUUACUCAAAAUGUAAAGUUUUAGUUCAAAAAAAAGUUAAAGUUAAUGUUUACAUACUAAUAAAAUUUAAUGAAAAGAGGGAUUACUUAGUGUUUAAAUCAUAAUAUUAAAUAAUUUAUUUUUUUAUAAAAAAUAAAGUGAUCAAAUUCUAGUGGAAGCGGCGUGAUUUAUCUUUCACAUCUUUAAAUUUUUUUUAAUUUUAUUCUUUAUUAAUAUGAAAAGUGAACAUAACAUAAUAUAAUACACACCAUGAGCUUAUUCUGUUACUUUAAAAUGCAUACAAGCAAACAUGAAACACAUAAACAAGAAAUUAGAAAUAACACAGAGGAAACAUGUGGUGUAGUCUACUUGAAGAACUCCAUAACCCAUAAACUGUUGACAUGACAUUCAUAUCUGAUGCCACUAAAUCCAGCUGCUCUUGCCAAUUCCAUGAACUCUUCUUCACACCGUUCUUUACCUCCCUCGUGCUGAGUCAUCAUCCCAACAUCCAAUUGUGCAACUGCCUUAUAAGCAUUAUUAGUCUCUGGUAUUUUUGGAAGAACUGCCUCCACAACUAUCACCUUUCCAUCAUCAGGAAUUGCAUCAUAACAAUUCUUCAACAGUUUCACACAAUCUUCAUCACUCCAAUCAUGAAGUAUCCACUGUACAAUCAUUGAAUGAGGUUGGUAUAAUGCAUCACUUUGAAUUAAACUUUCAACCAACUAUUAUUCAUAUAUUUCCCUCCUCACUCACACUUUACCUUCAUAAAUAUGGCGUCUCCUUUAGGAACAUUUUCAAACAUGUCUCCCUCAACGUGUUCCACUCCUGUAAUAUUAGAAAGUAAAUACUACACACUCUUAAUAUUAUUGUCUUGUAAAACUCAAAGUUAACCAAAUAACAUUUUUUUUUUUAAUUUUGCAGAAGCACAGGAUUGGAAUGUGUAAGGAUGAUACCAGGAUAGGAAGGAGCCUCUCGAAUGACAUGAGGCAAAUCGAAAUUGAUGCCAUGGAUAUCAGGGUAUUUGGAAGUGACCAAGUUAAUGUUGAUUCCAAGACCACCACCAACAUCCACCAAUCUUUUUAUGCCCUCAAAACCUUUGUAGGAUUCCAGAACUUUCUUCAUCAUGAAAGUGGUGUGAUUGAUCAUUGCUGUGUUGAAAACCUUAUUGAAUCUUGAGUCCGAACGUGAAUAGUCAAAAGCAUGAGUGCCAUAAACCCUGUUGAAUGGAACACCCCCCUCCCUAAUUGCAUCUUUCAGCUCCGUCCUAAUAAUGUAAAAACAAAGUUAUUGCCCGAAAGUGCCUCUCAAUUCAUAAAUCCUCUUGGAAACAUUUACUUCCAAUGACAUAAUUUAGGAGAUCGCAUAAAAUCAUAAUACUGAAUGAUGUGACUUUAUUCUUUUAUUAUCACAACAACCCGCAUUAAAUUUGAACUAUUAUCUCCCAAUGAUUAGCAAGAGAGAGAAUGAAAGAUUGCAACAAGGAGUCAAAAGUGUAAACAAUGUAAUUUUGUCCAAUAGUUGGUGAGUGGACCAACGACAAACAAACUGCACACGGACCAUGAAAAAGUUUGUAAGGAAUCAUCACUAGUUUUUUGUUGGUAUAAUUUAAAUUAUAUAAAUAUUAAUAUUUUGUUACAGUGUAAAGUAAGAAGUGAAAAUAUCAUGAGCAUAAUAAUUGAGAUACCAGCUUUGUAGGAAGAUUUUGUCUUGGCCCAAGGCCAUCAUGGGCCCCAACGAAACUCCAUCAGAAUUGGGAGCAAAGAAUGCGGCGACGGGAGUGAUGGUGUAGAGCCGGUGAAAGGUGGGAGGAACACGGUGGUCGGAAGCGAGGGAAGAGUUAAGAAUGGAGUGAGAAGAAAGAAGUGCGAGGAGACGAUCUAGCAUUGAGGCUGCUUCUGGGUUACUGCAACUAAUCUUUGAUGCUAUUUCCUUAGCAGAAAGCUUAGCACC